GACGAACGCUGGCGGCGUGCCUAAUACAUGCGAGUCGAACGCUUCCUACCGGUGCUUGCACCGGGAAAGAAGAGUGGCGGACGGGUGAGUAACACGUGGGUAACCUACCUACAAGCGGGGGAUAACAUUCGGAAACGGAUGCUAAUACCGCAUAGAUCUUUUUGUCUCCUGACAGAAAGAAGAAAGACGGUUUCGGCUGUCACUUGUAGAUGGACCCGAGGCGCAUUAGUUAGUUGGUGAGGUAAUGGCUCACCAAGACGAUGAUGCGUAGCCGACCUGAGAGGGUGAUCGGCCAGACUGGGACUGAGACACGGCCCAGACUCCUACGGGAGGCAGCAGGAGGGAAUCUUCCGCAAUGGACGAAAGUGUGACGGAGCAACGCCGCGUGAGUGAAUAAGGUUGUCGGAUCGUGAAACUCUGUUAUUAGAGAAGAACAAGGAUGAGAGUAACUGCUCGUCCCUUGACGGUAGCUAACCAGAAAGUCAUGGCUAACUACGUGCCUGCAGCCGCCGCGG
rnacentral:rRNA from 1 species